rnacentral:rRNA from 1 species
GCUSGCGGCGUGCCUAAUACAUGCAAGUCGAACGAGUUCUGAUUAUUGAAAGGUGCUUGCAUCUUGAUUUAAUUUUGAACGAGUGGCGGACGGGUGAGUAACACGUGGGUAACCUGCCCUUAAGUGGGGGAUAACAUUUGGAAACAGAUGCUAAUACCGCAUAAAUCCAAGAACCGCAUGGUUCUUGGCUGAAAGAUGGCGUAAGCUAUCGCUUUUGGAUGGACCCGCGGCGUAUUAGCUAGUUGGUGAGGUAACGGCUCACCAAGGCAAUGAUACGUAGCCGAACUGAGAGGUUGAUCGGCCACAUUGGGACUGAGACACGGCCCAAACUCUACGGGAGGCAGCAGUAGGGAAUCUUCCACAAUGGACGCAAGUCUGAUGGAGCAACGCCGCGUGAGUNAAGAAGGCUUUCGGGUCGUAAAACUCUGUUGUUGGAGAAGAAUGGUCGGCAGAGUAACUGUUGUCGGCGUGACGGUAUCCAACCAGAAAGCCACGGCUAACUACGUGCCAGCAGCCGCGGUAAUACGUAGGUGGCAAGCGUUAUCCGGAUUUAUUGGGCGUAAAGCGAGCGCAGGCGGUUUUUUAAGUCUGAUGUGAAAGCCCUCGGCUUAACCGAGGAAGUGCAUCGGAAACUGGGAAACUUGAGUNCAGAAGAGGACAGUGGAACUCCAUGUGUAGCGGUGAAAUGCGUAGAUAUAUGGAAGAACACCAGUGGCGAAGGCGGCUGUCUGGUCUGUAACUGACGCUGAGGCUCGAAAGCAUGGGUAGCGAACAGGAUUAGAUACCCUGGUAGUCCAUGCCGUAAACGAUGAAUGCUAGGUGUUGGAGGGUUUCCGCCCUUCAGUGCCGCAGCUAACGCAUUAAGCAUUCCGCCUGGGGAGUACGACCGCAAGGUUGAAACUCAAAGGAAUUGACGGGGGCCCGCACAAGCGGUGGAGCAUGUGGUUUAAUUCGAAGCAACGCGAAGAACCUUACCAGGUCUUGACAUCUUUUGAUCACCUGAGAGAUCAGGUUUCCCCUUCGGGGGCAAAAUGACAGGUGGUGCAUGGUUGUCGUCAGCUCGUGUCGUGAGAUGUUGGGUUAAGUCCCGCAACGAGCGCAACCCUUAUGACUAGUUGCCAGCAUUUAGUUGGGCACUCUAGUAAGACUGCCGGUGACAAACCGGAGGAAGGUGGGGAUGACGUCAAAUCAUCAUGCCCCUUAUGACCUGGGCUACACACGUGCUACAAUGGAUGGUACAACGAGUUGCGAGACCGCGAGGUCAAGCUAAUCUCUUAAAGCCAUUCUCAGUUCGGACUGUAGGCUGCAACUCGCCUACACGAAGUCGGAAUCGCUAGUAAUCGCGGAUCAGCACGCCGCGGUGAAUACGUUCCCGGGCCUUGUAACACCGCCCGUCACACCAUGAGAGUUUGUAACACCCGAGCCGGUGGC